GACGAACGCUGGCGGCGUGCUUAACACAUGCAAGUCGAACGCUGAAGCUUGGUGCUUGCACUGGGUGGAUGAGUGGCGAACGGGUGAGUAAUACGUGAGUAACCUGCCCUUGACUCUGGGAUAAGCCUGGGAAACUGGGUCUAAUACUGGAUACGACAUGUCACCGCAUGGUUGUGUGUGGAAAGGGUUUUACUGGUUUUGGAUGGGCUCACGGCCUAUCAGCUUGUUGGUGGGGUAAUGGCUCACCAAGGCUACGACGGGUAGCCGGCCUGAGAGGGUGACCGGCCACACUGGGACUGAGACACGGCCCAGACUCCUACGGGAGGCAGCAGUGGGGAAUAUUGCACAAUGGGCGAAAGCCUGAUGCAGCGACGCCGCGUGAGGGAUGACGGCUUUCGGGUUGUAAACCUCUUUCAGCACGGAAGAAGCGAAAGUGACGGUACGUGCAGAAGAAGCGCCGGCUAACUACGUG
rnacentral:rRNA from 1 species